UGGGGAAUAUUGGGCAAUGGGGGAAACCCUGACCCAGCAACGCCGCGUGAAGGAAGAAGGUUUUCGGAUUGUAAACCUCUGUUUUCGGUGACGAACAAAUGACGGUAACCGAGUAGGAAGCCACGGCUAACUACGUGCCAGCAGCCGCGGUAAUACGUAGGUGGCAAGCGUUAUCCGGAAUUACUGGGUGUAAAGGGAGCGCAGGCGGGAUAGCAAGUCAGCUGUGAAAACUAUGGGCUCAACCCAUAAACUGCAGUUGAAACUGUUAUUCUUGAGUGGAGUAGAGGCAAGCGGAAUUCCGAGUGUAGCGGUGAAAUGCGUAGAUAUUCGGAGGAACACCAGUGGCGAAGGCGGCUUGCUGGGCUCUAACUGACGCUGAGGCUCGAAAGUGUGGGGAGCAAACAGGAUUAGAUACCCUGGUAGU
rnacentral:rRNA from 1 species